UACGUAGGGGCAAGCGUUGUCCGGAUUUAUUGGGCGUAAAGAGCGUGUAGGCGGCCAAGCAGGUCCGCUGUGAAACUCGAGGCUCAACCUCGAGACGUCGGUGGAAACCGUUUGGCUAGAGUCCGGAAGAGGAGAGUGGAAUUCCCGGUGUGAGCGGUGAAAUGCGCAGAGUAUCGGGAAGAACACCCGUGGCGAAGGCGGGCACUCUGGGACGGUACUGACG
rnacentral:rRNA from 1 species